GACGAACGCUGGCGGCGUGCCUAAUACAUGCAAGUAGGACGCAGUUGCGAACGGGUGAGUAACGCGUAGGUAACUACCUAUUAGAGGGGGAUAACUAUUGGAAACGAUAGCUCAUACCGCAUACUAGUAGAUGGACCUGCGUUGUAUUAGCUAGUAGGUCGGGUAAUGGCCUACCUAGGCAACGAUACAUAGCCGACCGGGGAGGGUGAGCGGCCACACUGGGAAGUGGAGACGGCCCAGACUCCUACGGUAGACAGCAGUAGGGAAUCUUCGGCAAUGGGGGGAACCCUGACCGAGCAACGCGGCGUGAGUGAAGAAGGUUGUCGGAUCGUAAAGCUCUGUUGUUAAGGAAGCGGUACUUAACCAGAAAGGGCCGGCUAACUACGUGCCAGCCGCCGCGGUAAUAC
rnacentral:rRNA from 1 species